GAUGAACGCUAGCGGCAGGCUUAACACAUGCAAGUCGAGGGGUAGUCAUCUUCGGAUGAUGAGACCGGCGCACGGGUGCGUAACGCGUAUACAAUCUACCUUUUACAGAGGGAUAGCCCAGAGAAAUUUGGAUUAAUACCUCAUAGUAUUUUCGGAUGGCAUCAUUUGAUUAUUAAAGUUCCAACGGUAAAAGAUGAGUAUGCGUCCCAUUAGCUAGAUGGUAAGGUAACGGCUUACCAUGGCUACGAUGGGUAGGGGUCCUGAGAGGGAGAUCCCCCACACUGGUACUGAGACACGGACCAGACUGCUACGGGAGGCAGCAGUGAGGAAUAGUGGACAAUGGGCGCAAGCUUGAUCCAGCCAUGCCGCGUGCAGGAAGAAGGUCCUAUGGAUGGUAAACUGCUUUUAUACAGGAAGAAACACACCCGCGUGAGGGUACUUGACGGUACUGUAUGAAUAAGGACCGGCUAACUCCGUGCCAGCCGCCGCCGUAACAC
rnacentral:rRNA from 1 species